rnacentral:rRNA from 1 species
GGCGGACGGGUGAGGAAUACAUCGGAAUCUACUCUGUCGUGGGGGAUAACGUAGGGAAACUUACGCUAAUACCGCAUACGACCUACGGGUGAAAGCAGGGGAUCUUCGGACCUUGCGCGAUUGAAUGAGCCGAUGUCGGAUUAGCUAGUUGGCGGGGUAAAGGCCCACCAAGGCGACGAUCCGUAGCUGGUCUGAGAGGAUGAUCAGUCACACUGGAACUGAGACACGGUCCAGACUCCUACGGGAGGCAGCAGCC